AUGAAGGAAAAGUAGAAAGUAGAGAUACUAGCUUAAGGAAACAAAGUAUGGACUAACCAAACUUAGUUUGAUUCAUUUAUUCAUAAAAGCUCCUAUCAGUAUUUCAGUUGGCUGAUCAUUUUAUAGGAGAUGCCCAUUUCCCUGAAAACCUCUUGAGUUCGGGGCAGACUGUAGGUUAUAUAAGGCAGUCGGUUCCCAGAGUUGCCGCUGUGGAGCAGCAGAUUAAGGAUCUGGCAUUGCCGCAGCUGCAGUGUAGGUCACAGCUGUGGCUUGGAUUUGAUCCCUGGCCCGAGAACUUCCAUAUGCUGUGGUUGCAGCAAAAAAAAAAAAAAAAAAAAAAAAAAAGUAGGAAUCAGCUCCUUUUGUGAUAAUGUGGGAAAGAGCAUAGAUCAGGAGUCGGAAGUCUUCACUUAAAAGUGGUGUGACUUCCAAUUGCCCCAAAAGUGGAAAUAGCCCCAAGGUUCAUCAGCGGAUGAAUAUGGACAAACAAAAUGUGAUAUGUGCAUACAUAAGGGAACAAAAUCUGCCCCCCAAAAUGCGUCCCCUCGGCAUGAGGAUGAAUUUAGGCUGAUUAUUUUUAAGAAACAGAAGACUGGAAAACUCUUUCUUUUUACCUCCCCAUAAGCUGCCUGAAGAAUUUGGAUAAAGGGCCUUUUCCCAGAAUAGAGCUACCACCGACAUAUCUACAAAGAACAGAGGCUAGUUGUGGAGCCAGGUUCUAGAGAUCAGAGUCCACUCUGUAUCCCAUUGUCCCCCAUGGCCCAGCAAACAUUUGUUUACAUUCACUUUUCCAUCUCAGUGUAAGUUUCCUUCCUCCGCUUUGAAAUCUCAAACCAUUAAGCUCAAGAUCCUCUUUCUCUUUAGCUGAAUUUGCAUUUAAGGUGAAGUAAACCUGUUGAUUUACUCAAUUUUUGCUUAAUUUUCUCCUAUUAAUCUGUUUCAUGCCAAUUUAAUUCUUAGACCAGCCCGAAGGACCUGGAAGGGUAGAGGAAAAUUUCUUGCUGCCCAACACAUACAAAGCAAUAUUAUACAUGCUUAAAAUAAAAUGAAAUUUUUUUUGCCACACCCAUGGCAUGUGGAAGUUCCCAGGCCAGGGAUCAAACCCAUACCACAGCAGUGACCCGAGCCACGGAAGUGACCCAAGCCAUAGAAGCAACAAGGCCGGAUCCUUAACCCACUGAGCCACUAGGAAACUCCCUGAAAUGCAAUUCUGAUACAUGCUACAGCAUGGAUGAAUCUUGAAAACAUUAUGUUAAAUGAAAUAAGCAAGACACAAAAGGACAAAUACUGUAUGAUUUUACUUUUCCCAUCAUGGCUCAGUGGAAACGAAUCUGACUAGCAUCCAUGAGGAUGCAGGUUCAAUCCCUGGUCUUGCUCAGUAGAUUAAGGAUCUGGUGUUGCUGUGGCUGUGGCGUAGGCUGGUGGCUACAGCUCUGAUUCAACCCCUAGCCUGGGAAAUUCCAUAUGCCACGGGUGAGUACCUAAAAAGACAAAGAAAAAAAAAAAAAGAUAUGGAGAUGGCAGCCUCAUGCAGAUCAAUGAAAUUAGAACAUUCUCACACAUAUGCAAAAAUAAACUCCAAGUUAUUUGAAGACCUAAAUAUAAGAUUUGACACCAUAAAACUUCUCUUCUAAGAGAACAUAAGCAAAACAUGACAUAAAUUAUAGUAAUGUUUUCUUAGAUUAGUCUCCCAAGGCAAAAUGACUAAGAGAAAGUAAACAAAUGAGACCUCAUCAAACUUAAAACUUUUUUUGCACCAUGAAGGACACCAUAAACAAAAGGAAAAGACAAUCUAUGGAAUCAAAGAAAAUAUUUGCAAACAAUGCAACCAACAAGGAGUUAAUUUCCAAAAUAUACAAACUGCUCGUGCAACUCAAUUGCGAAAAAAGCAAUUCAACCAAAAAAUGGGCAGAAGAAGCUCUGAGACAUUUCUCUAAAGGAGAAACAUAGGAGUUCCCGUUGUGGCGCAGUGGUUAACGAAUCCGACUAGGAACAAUGAGGUUGCGGGUUCGGUCCCUGCCCUUGCUCAGUGGGUUGACGAUCUGGUGUUGCCGUGAGCUGUGGUGUAGGCUGAAGAUGCAGCUCGGAUCUGGUGUAGGUUGCAGACGUGGCUCGGAUCCCACGUUGCUGUGGUUCUGGCGUAGGCCAGAGGCUACAGCUCCGACUUGACCCCUAGCCUGGGAAC
rnacentral:lncRNA from 1 species